rnacentral:rRNA from 1 species
UACGGAGGGUGCAAGCGUUAUCCGGAUUCACUGGGUUUAAAGGGUGCGUAGGCGGGUAUAUAAGUCAGUGGUGAAAGCUCCGGGCUUAACUUGGAACUGCCAUUGAUACUGUAUAUCUUGAAUGUCGUUGAGGUUAGCGGAAUGUUGCAUGUAGCGGUGAAAUGCUUAGAUAUGUUACAGAACACCAAUUGUGAAGACAGCUAAACUAAGCGAUAAUUGACGCUGAGGCACGAAAGCGUGGGGGAGCAAACAGG